rnacentral:rRNA from 1 species
AAACAUAGCCAGUAGAUGAUAUUGUUGGUUUAACCUGCCCAAUGUGAAUUAAUAUGAAUGGCCGCGGUACUCUGACCGUGCUAAGGUAGCGUAAUCAGUUGGCUUUUAAAUGGAGUCAGGAAUGAAUGGGAAAACCUGGUCUAGCUGUCUCAAAGUUACUAUAUUGAAUUUACUGUCCAAGUGAAAAAGCUUGGGUGAGAAAAAGGGACGAGAAGACCCUUAGAAUUUGUUUUUAAAAAGUUUAAUCAACUUUGUGAUUUUGUUGGGGCGACAUGGAAAUAGUUAAAACUUUCCUAUAAAACAUGCCGAUUAUAUUAAGUAAGGAUAAAUUACCUGAGGGAUAACAGCAUAAUUCUACUAUUGAGUUUGUGACCUCGAUGUUGGACUAGGAAACUAGCAGGCCAGCCGUUUGCUGUGUGGGUUCUGUUCGAACUUUAAUUCCUACGUGAUCUGAGUUCAGAC